rnacentral:lncRNA from 1 species
ACCCACCUCUCCCAGCCAAGCUCCCCCCUGGGCGCCCACCGCCCACCCUCCCCUCACACGGCGGCUCCCACUGCCCCGCCACCGUCCGGGCACGGCUCCCUCCUGGCCCCACAGGCCUCUCCGCAGGUCUCCCCUUCGCGCCUGCCCCCGCCGCUGCCCCACGCACUCUGUCCCGGCGGAUCCCACCUCCCCGCCGCCGUCACCACCCACCAUCGCGGCCCGGCCAGGCCGCCUUGCCCCAGGCCACCGCCGCCCCCCCCCCCCCCCCCCCUUCCCGCCCCCCGGCCGGCGCGGUUCUGCAGGCGAGCCCGGGGCUGGGCAGGCCGCGGCCGCCCGGCUCCGCGGAGCGAGGCCGCCUCCCCCUUUACCGUCCGUCGGGGGGCUCGGGCCGGGCUGGGCCAUGGCUCCGGCGGGCGGGCGGCGCCGCCGCGGCCUCCUCCGCCUCCAGCCGCGGCGUCGGAGCGGGAACCGCUACGCCAGGGGGCCCCGGCGAGAGACGGGAGCUGCCGGCCUGGGCCUCCGCCUCCUCCGCCUCAUCCUGACAGCGGCCGCCGGCGGCAGGAGGAGGAGGAGGAGGAGGAGCGCCGCGCAGGCGCCCACGGUGAAGCCCAGGGAAACAAGUUGCACACAUCUUCAGGGAGAGACUCAGCUGCUCAGGACAGCAAGCCUUGGGUUCAUUCAAAAGAACUGUCUUUGGAGAUACUUAGAAGAACAUGAUACCCAAGAAGACGGAGCAGUCUGUGUAAACAAUGGACCAGGCAGCUGA